GGGGAUGGAGGAGGAGAUGGAAGAGGAGAUGGAGGAGAUGGAGGAGGAAAUAGGGAGGAUAUUGGGGAGGAGAUGGAGGAGGAGAUGGAAGAGGAGAUGGAGGAGAUGGAGGAGGAAAUAGGGAGGAGAUUGGGGAGGAGAUGGAGGAGGAGAUGGAGGAGGAGAUGGGGGAGGAGAUGGAGGAGAUGGAGAAAGUUAUGGAGGAGGAGAUGGAGCUUGUGGUAUGAGAACACCAGGAAAUAGAGAGACCAGUCCCAUCUAACUGGAAUUCUGGAACAUUUUGUUACCACAGCAUUGUCUGGAUUGCAAAAUUCCAGGCUGGGCAACUUUUGCACUGUACAGGUCACUCCAUACUCAUGAUUGCUGUUAGUCAUGAUGGGUGUGAGGUUUCCUUGGAGAGUGACAAUUAAGGAUGAGGAGGCAUUAGGUGAAGGGGUGAGUAGAGGCAGGGUGGAAAGAAGUGUGGGCUUUCGGUUGAGGGCACAAGGGAUAGGGCAAGUGAAAGGUCAGGAUUUACUCAAGAUGGAUCAAUCCUUCCUGCUGUGUGGAUGCCUGAAGACUAUCAGGAGACUGAUGAAGAGGCUGUCUGAGCAAUACACCAGCCUUCGAGGUGCACUGUAGGUGCCCUGAGUACUGUGAAGAGGUUUCUGAUGACACAUCACACUGCCUCUGGUUCCGGUGAUGAUUUGAAGAGCAGCCGAUCAGCUCUUCCCCUCUCAUUUCUUUUAACAUAAAAACAUCUUAACAGUCUAA